CCCCACUCUAAUCAGUGAAACUGAUCUUCCCGUGAAGAAGCGGGAAUAUAUAUAUAAGACGAGAAGACCCCAUGGAGCUUUAAACCCAACAGCACCUAUUCUUUUUAAGCCCACCCAUUCAUAUAGUAAAUGCUUGUUUGGUUUUAGGUUGGGGUGACCGCGGAGUAAAAAUUAACCUCCACGAAAAAAGGCAUAAAAGCCUUAUCAAAGAAUUACACUUCUAUGAAUUAGUAAACUAAUUUUUGAUGAUCCGAUAUUCGAUCAACGAACCAAGUUACCCUGGGGAUAACAGCGCAAUCCACCUCAAGAGCUCCUAUCGACAAGUGGGUUUACGACCUCGAUGUUGGAUCAGGGUACCCCAGUGGUGCAGCAGCUACUAAAGGUUCGUUUGUUCAACGAUUAAAACCCU
rnacentral:rRNA from 1 species